CAGCAGCCGCGGGAAUACGAAGGGGGCUAGCGUUGUUCGGAUUUACUGGGCGUAAAGCGCACGUAGGCGGAUCCUUAGGUCAGAGGUGAAAUCCCAAAGCUCAACCUUGGAACUGCCUUUGAUACUGGGGAUCUCGAGUUCGGGAGAGGUGAGUGGAACUGCGAGUGUAGAGGUGAAAUUCGUAGAUAUUCGCAAGAACACCAGUGGCGAAGGCGGCUCACUGGCCCGAUACUGACGCUGAGGUGCGAAAGCGUGGGGAGCAAACAGGAUUAGAUACCCCCGUAGUCCCUGUCUCUUAUAA
rnacentral:rRNA from 1 species